GGUUUUUAGAUUUUAUUAAAAAUCAAGCCUGCUCAAUGCUAAGUAAAUAGCCGCAGAAUUUUAACUGUGCAAAGGUAGCAUAAUCACUUGUCUUUUAAUUGAGGACUAGAAUGAAAGGUUUAACUAUGUAAUUUUGUCUUAUAGUAAUAUUUUGAACUUAAUUUUUUAGUAAAAAAGCUAAAAUUCAUCUUAAAGACGAGAAGACCCUAUUAAGCUUUACAAUUCAAUAUUAUUUUCAAACUAAUUAAAAAAUUGUUCUGCUGGGGCAGCAAAUAAAAAAAUAUUGUUUACAUAUUGUGAUAAAUAAAUCUAGAAAAAUCAAUAAUUUGUUAAAAAAUAAUAAGUUACUAUAGGGAUAACAGCAUAAUUUUUUUAAAGAGUUCUCAUCAACAAAAAAGUUUGUGACCUCGAUGUUGGAUUAAGAAUCCUAUUUUACGCAGUAGUAAAAAAAAGGGAGUCUGUUCGACUUUUAAAUUCUUCCA
rnacentral:rRNA from 1 species